rnacentral:rRNA from 1 species
CCUACGGGGGGCAGCAGUGAGGAAUAUUGGUCAAUGGCCGGAAGGCUGAACCAGCCAAGUCGCGUGAGGGACGACUGCCCUAUGGGUUGUAAACCUCUUUUAUAAGGGACGAAUAAAUGCUACGUGUAGCAUGAUGCCUGUACCUUAUGAAUAAGCAUCGGCUAACUCCGUGCCAGCAGCCGCGGUAAUACGGAGGAUGCAAGCGUUGUCCGGAAUUACUGGGCGUAAAGGGCGCGUAGGUGGGCGCUUAAGUCAGGUGUGAAAACUCCGGGCUCAACCUGGAGACUGCACUUGAAACUGGGUGUCUUGAGGGCAGGAGAGGAAAGUGGAAUUCCUAGUGUAGCGGUGAAAUGCGUAGAUAUUAGGAGGAACACCAGUGGCGAAGGCGACUAUCUGGCACAUAACUGACGCUGAGGAGCGAAAGCGUGGGUAGCAAACAGGAUUAGAUACCCUAGUAGUC